UCCGGUUGAUCCUGCCGGCGGCUACUGCUAUCAGGUUUCGACUAAGCCAUGCGAGUCAAGGGGUCGUAAGACACCGGCGUACUGCUCAGUAACACGCGGACAAUCUACCCCCAGGUGGGGGAUAACCUCGGGAAACUGAGGCUAAUACCCCAUAGUUGUCAUGUGCUGGAAUGCUUUGACGAUGAAAGAAUUUCGCCUGAGGAUGAGUCUGCGGCCUAUCAGGUAGUAUGUGGUGUAAAGGACCACAUAGCCUAAGACGGGUACGGGCCUUGAAAGAGGGAGCCCGGAGAUGGACUCUGAGACACUAGUCCAGGCCCUACGGGGCGCAGCAGGCGCGAAAACUGUGCAAUGCGCGCAAGCGCGACACGGGAAGCCUGAGUGCCUUAACUAUGUUAAGGCUUUUCUUGAUCCUAAAAAGCUCAAGGAAUAAGAGCUGGGUAAGACGGGUGCCAGCCGCCGCGGUAACACCCGCGGCUCNNCUUUUAUUGAGCCUAAAGCGUUUGUAGCCGGAUUUGUAAAUCUCUAGGAAAAUACUUCUGCUUAACUGAAGAAAUUUUGGAGAGACUGCAAAUCUAGGGACCGGGUGAGGUUGAAUGUACUUCUGGGGUAGGGGUAAAAUCCUGUAAUCCUGGAAGGACGACCGGUGGCGAAGGCGUUCAACUAGAACGGAUCCGACGGUGAGGAACGAAGGCUAGGGGAGCAAACCGGAUUAGAUACCCGGGUAGUCCUAGCUGUAAACACUGCCCACUUGGUGUUGCAUCUCCGGUAAGGGGGUGCAGUGCCGUAGCGAAGGUGUUAAGUGGGCCGCUUGGGGAGUAUGGUCGCAAGGCUGAAACUUAAAGGAAUUGGCGGGGGAGCACCGCAACGGGAGGAGCGUGCGGUUUAAUUGGAUUCAACGCCGGAAAACUCACCGGAGGCGACCUGUGUAUGAGAGUCAACCUGAUGAAUUUACUCGAUAGCAGGAGAGGUGGUGCAUGGCCGUCGUCAGCUCGUACCGUAGGGCGUUCACUUAAGUGUGAUAACGAGCGAGACCCCCAUCUUCAAUUGCUAAGCUAACCGUGAGGUUGGUAGAACUUUGAAGGGACCGCCAGUGCAGAACUGGAGGAAGGAGGGGUCGACGGCAGGUCAGUACGCCCCGAAUCUUCCGGGCAACACGCGCGCUACAAAGGACAGGACAAUGGGCUGCGACCUCGAAAGGGGAAGCCAAUCCCGAAACCUGUUCGUAGUUAGGAUUGAGGGCUGUAACUCGCCCUCAUGAAUCUGGAUUCCGUAGUAAUCGCGGGUCAACAUCCCGCGGUGAAUAUGCCCCUGCUCCUUGCACACACCGCCUGUCAAACCAUCCGAGCUGGUGUUGGAUGAGGGUUAGUUCGAAAGGGUUGAUUCGAAUCUGAUGUCAGUGAGGAGGGUUAAGUCAUAACAAGGUAUCCGUAGGGGAACCUGCGGAUG
rnacentral:rRNA from 1 species